AUUGAACGCUGGCGGCAUGCCUUACACAUGCAAGUCGAACGGCAGCACGGGGGCAACCCUGGUGGCGAGUGGCGAACGGGUGAGUAAUGCAUCGGAACGUGCCCAGUAGUGGGGGAUAACCAGUCGAAAGACUGGCUAAUACCGCAUACGACCCAAGGGUGAAAGCGGGGGAUCGCAAGACCUCGCGCUAUUGGAGCGGCCGAUGUCUGAUUAGCUAGUUGGCGGGGUAAGAGCCCACCAAGGCGACGAUCAGUAGCUGGUCUGAGAGGACGACCAGCCACACUGGGACUGAGACACGGCCCAGACUCCUACGGGAGGCAGCAGUGGGGAAUUUUGGACAAUGGGCGCAAGCCUGAUCCAGCCAUGCCGCGUGCGGGAAGAAGGCCUUCGGGUUGUAAACCGCUUUUGGCAGGAACGAAACGGCGAUCUCUAAUACGGGUCGUCAAUGACGGUACCUGCAGAAUAAGCACCGGCUAACUACGUGCCAGCCGCCGCGGUAAGAC
rnacentral:rRNA from 1 species